rnacentral:rRNA from 1 species
AUACGGAGGUUCCAAGCGUUGUUCGGAAUUACUGGGCGUAAAGGGAGCGCAGGUGGGCGGUCCAGUCCAAAGUGGAAGCCCGGGGCUUAACCCCGGAAGGGCUUUGGAUACUAGCCGUCUUGAGUACGCGAGAGGAAGGCGGAAUUCAGGGUGUAGCGGUGAAAUGCUUAGAUAUCCUGAGGAACACCGGUGGCGAAAGCGGCCUUCUGGCGCGAAACUGACACUGAGGCUCGAAGGGGUGGGGAGCAAACUGGAUUAGAUACCCCGGUAGUCCACGCCGUAAACGUUGUGCACUAGGUGUGGGAGGUAUCGACCCCUUCCGUGCCGCAGCUAACGCAUUAAGUGCACCGCCUGGGGAGUACGGUCGCAAGACUGAA